rnacentral:ncRNA from 1 species
GCCUAUUAUCAGGAACCUCUACGGGAGGUAGCAACCUGCAACAACAAGCAAGGUGCUAAAGCGAUAAGCCAAACUUUUUGGAAAAAAUGUUGUCUAU